CGGACCGGUCAGACAGUCGCUGGCAGUGCUUUUCCCUGAAGGGCCUGCUGGAGGAAAGUCCGGGCUCCAAAGGGCAGGGUGCCAGGUAACGCCUGGGGACUUUACUGGCGACGGUAAAGUUACGGCUAGUGCCACAGAGAAGAUACCGCCGGUUCCUUCUUCGGAGGGUUCAGGUAAGGGUGAAAAGGUGCGGUAAGAGCGCACCGCGCCGCUGGUAACAGCGGUGGCAGGGUAAACCCCACCCGGAGCAAGACCAAAUAGGGAUCCUAUGGCGUGGCCCGCGCUGGAUCCGGGUAGGU
rnacentral:RNase_P_RNA from 1 species